GGAAAGCUGUGUUGUGGUGAUAACCAUAUUUCGUGUUCGAAAGAAAUCGCUCAAGAAACAUCAGAUCUCGAGCGAUUCCUGGCAGCAAUUUUCAACGGGGGCUUCUGAAUUGUCAUUUCUUCGCUACUGCGUACUGCGAUCGAAGAAACAACGGUUUCUUGAGCGAUUCAGGCAAGGAAUUUCUCAUGCAUCAAGAUAGGCCAAGAAAAGUACACGCGGCAAAUCCCUGAGGAAAGAAACAGCCGCGUUUUUUGCUCUCCUUUUACUCCAUUCUGGGUGAUAACUGCGGCGUUUACUCAAGUGCGGCUGUUCCUUUCCAAGAUGAUUUGCCGCGUGGAAUUUCGGUAAAUAUUCAGCAAAAUAUUUUUUAUUAUUCAAGUUCAUUAAUAAUAUAUAUUGUCGGCGAGAUGGUCGGGUCGCCUCCGAACCGGACGUCGUACAAUCAAGGCACGACGCGACCCAACUCGCGACGUUUUGGAAUCAUGUCAAAAGCAGUGCGCGUCCUUCCCGUUGUUGUCAGCAACACAGCGCACUAGAUGCGAAACAGUUGCGGCAUUUGUUAACCAAGAAAAUGGCAAUUUUUUAUUGAAUGUAUGUCUUAAUUCCAACCGGAUAGACAAUAUUGACAAUCUUGCAGUUAUUGCGACGUACAGGCAAAUAAAAUUGUCCCGCCACAAAAUGUACACACGUGUGUACUGGCUUCAGCAUACAUUGGUAGCAAUUGGCUUCUUUAGUGGUGUUGAGAUAAUCUCAUAUUCUGAAUCUACAUGUCAAACUGUGCCGAAAUCCAAAUUUUCAUGAAUUUUGGAGCCCGAGAACCUAUUUAAAAAUCAAUUUGAAGUUUGUAUGGGAGCGAUUUGUCGAAUCACCCCUCGUCGCAGUUUGUGCUGGGCGGAGCUGUCAAACAGUUGCCCACCUGUCAAAAGGUGAUUUCAAAAAAUCUCUUUGAAAUUGAUUUUAGGUAUCAAAACAAAGUUCUAAAAAUCUGAAAAAAAUCAUAGUGACUCAGAAAAAGGCGCUCUUUCGUAUAAAAUCAAAAAAUCAAUACAUUUUUCGAAAUUCAAAAACCCAAAUGUCUCUACAGUUUUGCAGUUGCAGGUGCACUUGGGUAGUGCUCCGAAUAAUCGGUUUGUUUAUGCGCUGUUUCCUUUGUUCCUGGGUGUGUGAGCCCAAUGUUCAAAGAUUGAACAUUUGCACGGUCGAUCGUGAUGAUGAUGAUUGAAAUGGGACCUGGAAAAACUUUGGCCUGAUCGAAUGCCAAAUUUCUCUUUACGGAUGACCCACUUCAAUGGCCAUCUCCCUUCUUUUUCCUUACCAGUAAAUAAUAAACUCUCAUUUGAUGAAGCGUUGAGAUUCCAGGGCAAAAUAAUGUGUUCAAAAAGAAACCAUGGAUGCAUCUUGUUUGACUCGACGUUAUUUUCAUUAGUUGGCUUUUGUACUGGGCGGAUUUUGUACUGGGCGGAGCUUUCAAGCAGUUGCCCAGCUGUCAAAAGGUGAUUUGAAUAAAUCUUUUUGAAAUUUAUUUUGGGUAUCAAAACAAAGUUCUAAAAAUCUGAAAAAAAAAAUCAUAGAGGCUUAGAGAAAGGUGCUCUUUCGUUUAAAGUCUAGUAUGCACCUGGUAAGAAAAGCACUCCAGAAAAAAUCCCUCUAAUUACCAAAGGAAUUUUGACAACUGAUUAGUAUGGGAAACAAUGUCACUUUUCCUUGAGGAAUAAUUGAACGGAAUAUUAUUCACGCUCGUUGAAAACUACUCUAAAGUGAGUAGAAUUCGACUCACUUUGGUACAAAGUGGAACAGCUCAAAAGAGAGUAAUGAGCAGUUACUCAUUUUAGAGUAAAAUUAGAUUUUCUUCAAAUUAGAGUAGCUUUUACUCACUUUUAUUUUACAUGAAUUUAGCAAACUGAGUCGAUUUCUACUCACUUUUGUAGAUUUAUUUAGGUUCUUCUUUUUUUUAUUUUCUAACAGAAAAAAUAGCAAUUUCGUAAUAAAAAAAGUAAAAUAAACAUUUUAUUUGUACAUAAAACUAUUUUACAAAUCUUGCACUUAAUACUAAACUAAAGGCGAUAAAUAUUUACAAUCCACUUGAGCCAUAAAUUUAUCUGGUCUGGAUGCUACCUAAGUUCUCCCAUGUGAUGGUUCCUUGGAUGGUUCCUACUCCGUUCAGCUUUUGCCUCGGCUUUUGCUGAUUAUCAUCGGCAUCUAAUCCACCUGUUGUAACAGGAAGCUCCACGGUCAGCAGCCCCAGCACUAUAUCGAUCAGCUGCCAGAAGCCUCUUUUUCUAAAAAGGAAGUUCCCGGGAUGCGUAGCCCUAGACGGUAAAUGGUGGUUUUGAAAAUCUAGUUUAGAAGUUACAUCUCGAGUUUCGAUGUCAAAUUAAUAAUAUCCAUACUUACUUUUCAAACUCACAUUUUCUACCGAUGCUUCAAGAAUUUAGCGGUAAAAUGCACUACAUUUAUCUCACAAAGUUCGAAAAUAUUUGAAAUAGCUUAACCCUGGCAAAAGUUUUUCCAAAUUCUUCUAAGAUAUUUCCGUUAGCGUGAGUGGAAUAAAUUUUGAGACUACUCAUAAGUGAGUAAAAGGCUAAUUUUGACAAACAGAGUAGAAAUCAACUCACUUACAAAAAACACUGUCACUCACUUUUGACAUUUUUUUGAAAAGUUUGCAACUGAGUAGAAAUCUACUCAUUUUUGAGUAGAUUUCAACGAGCGUGUUCCGCAAGGAAAAGUGACAGCUCCAUUUGAUUUGCCCGGCAGGCGUUACGAGCGUUACACAAUUUUCAUUUCUUUCCAGCUGCGGACCGCUCAAGAAAUUUUAACAGCGAAAUCAUUUCUUGACCGUUCCUUGGCCUAUCUUUUUCCACAGUACUUAUUAGGUGCGUACUACCCCUAAGAAUAUAAAAUCAUUGAUUUUUUCUUGAUUUCAAAACCCAAUAGAUGAUGUUUCUUGAGUUCUUUUCUUGUCAAAUAUUUAACCUGUGUACCAGGGGGCGAUCAUCAAAUCAAAAAUUUCAUGACAUUUUCAGCACAUGAUAUAUUAUUAUAAUAUAAAGUGUAGUACGCACCUCAAAAGUACUGUGGAAAAGGAUACCCGGAUAAAAAAUACAAUAGAAAGACAUAGGAUUAUUAUGUAACAGUACCAUUGAAAACCAUACUCUCACAAUAGAAUUCAAUGUUAAAAUAACAGUAGAAAAACAAUAGAAUCAAAUGUUUCUAACAAUAGAAUCAAAUGUGAAUGAGCAUUUCACAUUGAAUUGUAUAGGUUGUUAAGUAUCGUAACAAUACAAAAAAGGACUUUUUUCCAUACAAGUUUUUUCGUAAAACAGAAGAUUCUAAUGUAAAUGAAAUGUUGUUAAUACAUAUACGGGGAAUCAAAUAUACCGUAGAUUUUUAUGUAUUUGUAUUGUUUUGAAUUGUUAAAUAUGCCAGGAACUGUCUAUUUUGAACUGUGAUCUUACAUUAGAUUCAAUGGUUUGGGGAUGGUUUUCUAUUGUGAAACAGAAGAUUCUUAUGUAUUCGAAUUGUUCCAAAAAGUGAAUUACACGGUAAACGUAUUGUUUUGGGUAGUGAUUUUAUUCAUGGCUCCACAUUUGAUUCAAUUGUUUUGGAAUUGUUUUCUAUUGUGAAACAGAACAUACUGUUUUUACUGUAUUUACAUUGAAUUCAAUGGUUUGGGUAUCGUUUUCUAUUGUGAUACCUUGUGUGAUACAAAAGAUUCUUAUGUUUUCGAAUUGUUUCAAACAGUGAAUUGCACGGUAAACGUAUUGUUUUGAGUAGUAAUUUUAUAACUGAUUCCACAUUUGAUUCAAUGGUUUGGGAAUUGUUUUCUAUUGUGAUACACAAGAUUCUUAUGUUUUCAUAUUGUUCUUUGAGCACUGACUUAAUUACACAUUAGAUUCUAUUGUUUUGGAAUUGCUUUCAAUUGUGAUUACGGAACAUACUGUUUUGCCCUAUCCAAAGGUUUGGGAAUUGUUUUCUAUUGUGAAACAGAAAAUUCUAAUGUUUUGGAAUAGUUUUAUUUUACAAGCGAUUAUGAACAUUUUGGCAUGAUUUGAUCUAUUUCUGCUUUUUACUUUUGUUACUGAUUGCUUGAGAAAAUUCUGAAAACUGUGAAUCUGAUCUAUCUUUAUGCAUUUGGACUAGAAGCUUGUAUAUUUUAUGCUACAUUCAGGGCUACAUUUUAAGCACACAGAUCGAACAAUUAUCUAAUAUUUGAAUCAAUCAUGUCGUAAAUCGAGUAAUGUUUAAUUGCAUUAAUGAUUGAAGCUUGGGCUCCCAUGCCCCACUGGCCAGAUAACUGGGUUUAGCAGACUAAGCAUUAUAUGUGGCAACACUAUAAGCGGCAUGAUGGAACCGUGCCUAAGCGCGCUAAGUGUUAUUAGACCACUAAUGUAGUUGCAUUUAGUGGAUGAUGAGGUACAAAAGUAACAUUACAGCGUGCUUAACCAUUAUUGUAGCACUAAAAAAACUCGAUAUACUACAACUUGAACAUAUACUUGAACAUCGUUCGAAGCCGUAAAAUGCAAAAUAUUGCAUAGAUUAAGUUCGUUAAAUGUUGACUAUACACAAGCUUCUAUAUAGUUCGAAUAGUCUUCAAAUAUUUUAUUCACUCAUGUCUGAAGUAACGUCUAAUUGCAUUAAUGGUCGAAGCUUAGGCUCCCAUGCCCCACCAGCCAGAUAACUGGGUUUAGCAAACUAAACACUAUAUGUGGCAACACUAUAAGCGGCAUGAUGGAACCGUGCCUAAGCGCGCUAAGUGUUAUUAGUCCACUAAUGUAGUUGCAUUUAGUGGGUGAUGAGGUACAAAAGUAACAUUACAGCGUGCCUAACCAUUAUUUUUAUAGCAAUUAAAAACAUCGUUGAACUAAGUCCUCGAACACAGUACAUACGUCGGUUUAAUUCAUCGAAAGAUUUAAACGAGAAUGUUAUGUGUUCCAGGCUUAAAGAGUGAAACUAUAUUAGAAGACCUUUCAGACUAUAGCGUCCAAAUGCAAAAGAUUAUUCUAUUGGAAAGUUUCAAAUGAGUGAAAUCAGUUACAAAGCAAAAACAAUGCUUAUAGAACACUGCUGAGAAGCAGGCUUUGUCCCAGUUGAAACGCAAGGCCAAGAAGAAGAGGUAAUAUUACAAGAUUCGAUAAAUCUAUCUAUCUAUUCCUCGUUCUAUUCUAUAUGUAAAAAUGAAUUUCUGUCUUUCUGUCUGACCCUUUAUCGAAUCGGAAACUACUGAACUGUGAACUUUCAUACGAUUCGAAUAUAAAUCUUAAAAACGAGCGGUAUAUAUGAGGGGCCCAGAAUCAAAGGGGUGUAAGUGACCAUUUUGUGACCAUAUGCUGUGCAUAUCAUAAAAUUCUUCAGAUUUCAAUCUAUCAGGAACUUUUUUUUUUAUUUUGAAACUCCAUACAUUUUGUAUAGGACGGAAAAUUGAUGAAAAACUUUAAACCUCAUUUACUCGAAAGUGGGUUUUUGUCACUAACACCCCUUUGCUCCUAACCCCUUCAUAUAUAUAGGUACACACUUGCCAAAGAGAUCAGUGGGGUGUGAAAUGCGCAAUAACACUCACCUUCGGAAAGAUUAUUUACACUUUCCUGGGAUGUAUCUCCAGGAAGUUUCGCCGGAUGUAAGCAUCCUUGUACCUACUAGUAGUUCGACGACCCCUUCGGACUGGGUUCUUCCCUUGACUGCGUCUGGCAGCGAUCGUCUUCGACGAAUUCUCAAUCGUUUCCUCCUCCUCCUAAUUCCUUAUGUCGUCGCUUUCACCCGAUCCGACCGACCGUUUUCACAUUAUCUGCCAAUGUCCUUUCACAAAAACUUCCCCAGCACGACUUGAAGCUUCAUUCUGCAACGGCUCCGGGAAUCCCUACUCAUCGGUCGAAAGCUUGCCCGUAUAAAAAUGAACCAUUGGAUUUUCUGUUGAUACCAUUGAUUUACAAUAGAAAGUACCGUCAACAUAAAAAUGUAUUGUUUUUCAAAUGUCAAAAAUAUAUUUGCAAAUUGUAUCUACAAUACAAAACAUAACAUUAUUAUGUAACAAUAGAUUGUAUUGUUUUGCAUAUGUUUUACCAUACGCAUUUUAUUUUUUUUUCCGUGUGUUUUUAUCAUCAAAUUUUGGGAAUUUUGUUUUACCGUGCAUGUUUUGGUGUCAUGCAGAAAAAAAAAACAAAAAGUGUAGCGGUUGUGCUUCUUCCCGUCCGAGUUCCUGUCCGUAUUCCCAGUGGACCCAAACUAGAACCGGUAAAGGGAAUCCUCCGGAGCGUGUCCAGCUGUCCUAACGGAAGCCAUCGCCGUCCACGAAGUGUACUGGAUCACUACCGGAGGAAUCUUCUGAUGCGGGGUAGCAGGAAAAUGCUGAGAAAGGUUCGAUUGAGACUGCGGCAUUCAUGUUCCAAAUCGAUUUGCUGCGGAAGAUCUGGAGAAUGCGGUACACUGCGACCCCGGACGAUGCUAAAUACCAGACUGCCGGCAAGACGAGCAGCAUAAUGCAAUCGAUUUUCAUCAGAGCUCGAGUCGCGGACAAGGAAACACGAGCAACUGGAGCUCAUUCCCGGCGACGUAAUGCGGAACACGGAUGGAAGAUUUCCGGAUGCAAAUUGAUUUAGGAAGGACGUUGUCGAAGUAAGACCCGAUGCACACGAACUACCUUCAUAAAUUUUGUGAAAGCGCCUUACGCGAACAUUUAAACAAAACUUUGCUGUGCUAUCUUUUGCAUUAGGACAUUGAGCAAUCCGUAUAUUUGAAGGGCUAUUCAAACUAGAAGCUUGUGUAGUUGAUUGAUUGAUUGAUUGAUUUGUCUUUAUUUAAGAGACUUUCAGCCCUUGGCUAGUAGCUUGUGUUGUCAAAAUUUAAAGGACUUAUGAUCUGUCUUGUAAUCUGUACAAUGAUGUAUGCUUUGUUUUGGGAAAACAAGUCCCAAAAUGACACACAAACGUAUCAUUGUAUUAAAAUCAUCUUUUGCAUUUGAACGAUCUUCCAAUAAAGGUUCCAGCUGUAGUAUAUCGAGUAUUUUUAAGUGCUACAAUAAUGGUUAAGCACGCUGUAAUGUUACUUUUGUACCUCAUCACCCACUAAAUGCAACUACAUUAGUGGACUAAUAACACUUAGCGCGCUUAGGCACGGUUCCAUCAUGCCGCUUAUAGUGUUGCCACAUAUAAUGCUUAGUCUGCUAAACCCAGUUAUCUGGCUGUGGGGCAUGGGAGCUUAAGCUUCAACCACAAAUGCAAUUAAACAUUACUCGAUUUACAACACGAGUGUUCUAAAUAUUCGAUGAUUGUUCGAUCUGUGCUCUUAAAAUGUAGCUUAAAAUAUACAAGCUUUUAGCCCAAAUGCAUAAUGAUAGUUCAGUUUCGCAUUGUUUGAGUUUUUUCUAGCAGUCAGUAACAAAAUCAAUAAGCAGAAAUAGAUUAAACCAUUUCAAAAUCAUGAUGUACUUAUGUAAAAUUAAACUAUUCCAAAAUAUCAGAAUAUUCUGUUUCACAGUAGAAAACAAUUCCAAAAUAAUAGAAUCUAAUGUGGAGCCAGUAGUAAAAUCACUGCUCAAACGAAUAUUUACGUUCACCAUACAUUUCACUGUCCAAAAUAAUUUGAAAACAUAAGAAUCUUCUGUUUUACAAUAGAAAACAAUACCCAAACCAUAGAAUUCAAUGUAAAAACAGUACAAACGAAUGUUCUGAUUCACAAUAGAAAACAAUUACAAAAAAUAGAAUCUAAUGUGGAGCCAGUUAUAAAGUCACUGCUCAAAGGAAUACGUAUACUAUACAUUUCACUGUCUAAAACAAUUUGAAAACAUAAGAAUCUUCUGUUUCACAAUAGAAAACAAUACCCAAACCAUAGAAUUCAAUGUAAAAACAGUACCAACAGUAUGUUUUGUUUCACAAUAGAAAACAAUUCCAAAACAAUUGAAUCAAAUGUGGAACCAGAAAUAAAAUAAUCUGAAAACAAUA